GUGCAGGAGGAGGGUGGGGGCUUCCUGGAGCAGUGGCCCUGGCCACCCUGUGCAGUGGCUGCAGCUCAGCCCCUUCCCUGGCCUUUCUGUCUCCCUGUUGCUUUCACAGCUGGAGCUGCCUCAGAGGCCCCUGUCCUCACCCCUGAGAAGGCCAGGCCCGGGCAGGUGCCUGGGCUGGGGCUGCUCCUGGCCAGGCGGGAAGACUGUCAGUUGGAGGAAAGCCCAGGCCGCCGAGAGCGCAGCGGAUGGACCUCAGGGAAGGUCUGGCACGCCGCCUCCGGGAAGCCUUCCGGCCUUCUCCCUGCACCCAGUACUGGGGAGUCUCAGGCCACGGUGAAUGAAGAGCGACGGGCCGGAGAGACCUCGCCCUCUGCCCAGGAGCAGCGCCCAGCAACCCCGCCCACAGGGGACCCGGUGGACGCCCUGGCCACUUUGCCAGGCCCCCCAUCUCCCAGCGAACCAGAGGGGGUUUCCGUUCCCCUCCUGCUUGGUGCCUAGCGCCAGGGCGGGGCGGGGGCUGAGCAGCCCCUCCCUUGGACGGAGCGGCCAGUCUACAUAUUGGAGGAGGGGCUCUGGGGAAAGGGUGUUGUUAGGAAGGCGGUUUGAGGCAGCGGGAGGUGGGGAUGCGCCCGACGGGGAGGGGCAGGUGUGUGGGGAGGGCAUGGGCAGCACCUCCCCAGCCAGGCCCCGCAGCUGGACCCCGGCUCCGUCCAGCCUGGGAAAGGACUCCACGGUUUAUGCUGAAGUGGCGGUGGGGUGGCUGAACGAUACGCAAUGGAAGGGCAUGGCCCUGUGCUAAUUGCCCCGGGGUGUGGGGCUGUGGAGGCACUGCGGGGGGGUUGUGCUGUGUCAGUUGGGCAAUGGCGGCCAACUGUGGCGUGCAGACCUUGGAGUUGCCCCUCCAUGGAGCUUUAAUAAAGGCACUGGCCCUGCAA